rnacentral:rRNA from 1 species
UCGGCGGGUUCGCCCGCCGAUUGGACAAUUUAAACCAUUUGCAGUUGCAAUCAGCGUCUGAAAAAACAUAAUAGUUACAACUUUCAACAACGGAUCUCUUGGUUCUGGCAUCGAUGAAGAACGCAGCGAAAUGCGAUAAGUAGUGUGAAUUGCAGAAUUCAGUGAAUCAUCGAAUCUUUGAACGCACAUUGCGCCCCUUGGUAUUCCAUGGGGCAUGCCUGUUCGAGCGUCAUUUGUACCUUCAAGCUCUGCUUGGUGUUGGGUGUUUGUCUCGCCUCUGCGCGUAGACUCGCCUCAAAACAAUUGGCAGCCGGCGUAUUGAUUUCGGAGCGCAGUACAUCUCGCGCUUUGCAUUCAGAACGACGACGUCCAAAAGUACAUUUUUACACUCUUGACCUCGGAUCAGGU